rnacentral:rRNA from 1 species
UACGUAGGGUGCGAGCGUUACUCGGAAUUACUGGGCGUAAAGCGUGCGCAGGCGGUUUUGUAAGCCAGAUGUGAAAGCCCCGGGCUUAACCUGGGAAUGGCAUUUGGGACUGCAAGGCUUGAGUGCGGCAGAGGAGACUGGAAUUCCUGGUGUAGCAGUGAAAUGCGUAGAUAUCAGGAGGAAUACCGAUGGCGAAGGCAGGUCUCUGGGCUGACACUGACGCUCAUGCACGAAAGCGUGGGGAGCGAACAGG